GAAAGUAAACAAGGGCGCAUGGAGGAUGCCUAGGCUCUCGGAGGCGAAGAAGGACGUGAUAAGCUGCGAAAAGUUACGGUAAGGCGCAAAUAGCCCUAGACCCGUAAAUAUCCGAAUGGGGCAACCCGGCCAGCAAUGGCCAUACCGCCAAGCGGUAAGCCAACGCGGGGAACUGAAACAUCUAAGUACCCGCAGGAAAAGAAAAUAACAAUGAUUCCGCCAGUAGUGGCGAGCGAACGCGGAACAGCCCAAACCACCCGUGUUACGGCACGGGUGGGGUAGAAGGAUCCACGAUACGGCAAGAAAUAAGUUAGCAGAAUACGAUGGAAAUCGUAGCCAAAGACGGUGACAGCCCGGUACGCGAAAACCGACAGAAGCCCAGUGGACACCUGAGUAACCCAGGACACGAGAAAUCCGGGGCGAAUCAGCGGGGCCCAUCCCGUAAGGCUAAAUACUCCCGAGAGACCGAUAGCGAACCAGUACUGUGAAGGAAAGGUGAAAAGAACCUCGAACAGAGGAGUGAAAGAGACCCUGAAACCAUGCGCCUACAAGCGGUCGGAGCAUGUUAAAAUGUGACGGCGUGCCUUUUGCAUAAUGAACCUACGAGUUACUCUCGCUGGCAAGGUUAAGCGAUUCAGUCGCGCAGCCGAAGCGAAAGCAAGUCCGAACAAGGCGUACAGUCAGCGGGAGUAGACGCGAAACCAAGUGAUCUACCCUUGGUCAGGUUGAAGGUUGGGUAACACCAACUGGAGGACCGCACCGAUAAGCGUUGAAAAGCUUACGGAUGAACUGAGGGUAGGAGUGAAAGGCCAAUCAAACUUGGAGAUAGCUCGUACUCCCCGAAAUGCAUUUAGGUGCAGCCUCGAAGCAGAGUGAUAGAGGUAGAGCGACUGAUAAGAUGCGAGGGCUUCACCGCCUAUCAAGUCUUGACAAACUCCGAAUACUAUCACUUGAUCUUUGGGAGUGAGGGCAUGGGUGCUAAGGUCCAUGUCCGAAAGAGGAACAACUCAGACCACCGGCUAAGGUCCCGAAAUAAGGGCUAAGUUGAAUAAACGAAGUAAAACUGCAAAGACAGCUAGGAUGUUGGCUUGGAAGCAGCCAUUCAUUUAAAGAGUGCGUAACAGCUCACUAGUCGAGGAGUUUUGCAUGGAUAAUAAUCGGGCAUAAGCCCUUUACCGAAGCUGUGGAUGUCGUAAGACAUGGUAGGGGAGCAUUCCGGCGGCGACGAAGGCCGUCCUCGAGGACGACUGGAGCUUUCGGAAAAGCAAAUGUAGGUAUAAGUAACGAUAAAGGGGGCGUGAAACCCCCUCGCCAUAAGACUAAGGAUUCCUGAUCAACGCUAAUCGGAUCAGGGUAAGUCGGGCCCUAAGGCGCAGCCGAACGGCGUAGCCGAUGGAAGAAACGGUAAAGAUUCCGUUACUGGAUAUAGGAGCGAUGUGGAGACGGAGAAGUGACACACCCGCCUGCCGACGGAAGCGCAGGUUAAAGGAAGUAGGUAAACGCCGGGCAGGCAAAUCCGCCCAGCGUGCCGAAGCUGACAGUAUCGAGAGCCCCCGGGCAAUCGAAUAGCGGUGGUAAUCAGGCUCCCAAGAAAAUCCGCUAAGCAAAUUCUAUAUCCACCCGUACCCCAAACGGACACACGUAGUCGGGUAGAAUAUACCAAGGCGCUCGAAAGACUCACGGUUAAGGAACUAGGCAAAUUGACCCUGUAACCUCGGGAAAAAGGGUCCCCAGUAAGAUGGGGCGCAGAGAAUAGGUCCAGGCAACUGUUUAACAAAAACACAGGGCUGUGCAAAAUUUCAAGAUGAAGUAUACAGCCUGACACCUGCCCGGUGCCGGAAGGUUAAGAGGAGAGCUAAUCGCAAGAGAAGGCUUGAAUUGAAGCCCCGGUAAACGGCGGCCGUAACUAUAACGGUCCUAAGGUAGCGAAAUUCCUUGUCGGGUAAGUUCCG
rnacentral:rRNA from 1 species